rnacentral:rRNA from 1 species
UACGAAGGGAGCUAGCGUUGUUCGGAAUCACUGGGCGUAAAGCGCACGUAGGCGGAUGUGUCAGUCAGGGGUGAAAUCCCGGAGCUCAACUUCGGAACUGCCUUUGAUACAGCACAUCUGGAGUCCGGAAGAGGUGGGUGGAAUUCCUGGUGUAGCGGUGAAAUGCGCAGAUAUCAGGAAGAACACCCGUGGCGAAGGCGGCUCUCUGGGACGGUACUGACGCUGAGACGCGAAAGCGUGGGGAGCGAACAGG